rnacentral:lncRNA from 1 species
CAGCCCUGGGAAGCAGCCACGAGGCGUUCUCAGCUCUGUUGAAGGAAUUGGGAAGCCAGCAAGUGGUCGGUGAAGAGCCUCCACUGGAGCAUAAGCCUCGUGACUCCAAACUGGGCUCCUUCCACUUUAUGCACCAAGUGGCUGCUUUCCACUCACACUGGUUUGCUUAAUCUUCUUUGGACGUAUGGAGCAGGUGAAGCUCCUGCAACAGCAGACCAGCAGGGGAAACUUAAAUUGCCCUUUAUACUUAAUGAACGAGAAUUGGCUCACCAACGCAGAGAUUCACAGCUGAAGAAGCAAGAAGAGAGAAAUCAAAACCUUCAACGAAGGACAGAGGUGACUUUGGAAUGCACCCUAUGAAGUCCUGCUGCUCUCCUGCUUUUGAGGAUAAGGAAUAUUCUUACUUCGUGGAAAAUUAAUGAAGAAGACAACUGAGGGGCAGUUAGAGAGGAAGAAUAAGAGUGACUUUGGACAGCAUCCUUUGUGUGAAGUGAAAUGAGGUGAGGUCACCAUCAAAGAAUUUUUCCUCUUUGGGAAAGUUUGUCCUCUUAAAAACUGUCCCUCACUCAUCUGGAUCUUUUUAUGGAAGUUCAUUUCUAGAACACAUUAAGAGUUAGCUGGUUAAAAGAUAAUAUAGAACUUCCUAGGGGAAAAAAAUGUAAAACUUCUGAAAUAAACUGAAAUAAAUGAUUAGUUAAUAAACACCAGGAUUAUAAAAACACAGACUACGUCUUUAAAAUUAUAUGCUUUUGAAAAGUAUUUCCAGUCUUUCUCUACAUUAUGCAAAGGGUCUAGCCUUUGAAAUCAGAGAGGUCUAGGUUCAUGUCACAGAUUUACAGGUACACCACUUGAAUUCUCUGAGGUUCAGUUGCUGGAAUUGUAAAAUGGAGGUAAUAACACUCACCUUGCAAGAUGAAUGUGAAACUAGAGAAAACAUAUGGAAAGUUCUUUGCACGGUGUGGGGCACCCUGUAGGAGCUCUGUACCUGGUAAUCAAUUACUGUGAUGGCACUUGUGCAGAUAAUAAAAUAUUUGAAA